CGGUCUGUCACGGAACACGGGA
rnacentral:miRNA from 1 species